GAUAGCUCAGCUGGUUAGAACGUGGCGCUGAUAACACCAAGGCUGCAGGUUCCAUCCCUGCAUGGGUCAGCU